rnacentral:tRNA from 1 species
AGUAAAGUGCCUGAUUAAAGGAUUAUUUUGAUAGAAUAAAAAAUACAUAAUUUUAUGUCUUUACUG